rnacentral:rRNA from 1 species
UACGUAGGUGACAAGCGUUGUCCGGAUUUACUGGGCGUAAAGAGCGCGCAGGCGGUCGUUCAAGUCGAGUGUGAAAGCCCCCGGCUCAACUGGGGAGGGUCAUUCGAUACUGAUCGACUCGAAGGCAGGAGAGGGAAGUGGAAUUCCCGGUGUAGUGGUGAAAUGCGUAGAUAUCGGGAGGAACACCAGUGGCGAAGGCGGCAUCCUGGACCGGUAUUGACGCUGAGGCGCGAAAGCUAGGGGAGCAAACGGG